rnacentral:rRNA from 1 species
UGCCAGCCGCCGCGGUAAUACGGAGGCCCCAAGCGUUGUUCGGAUUUACUGGGCGUAAAGCGCACGUAGGCGGACAUUUAAGUCAGAGGUGAAAUCCCAGGGCUCAACCCUGGAACUGCCUUUGAUACUGGGUGUCUUGAGUUCGAGAGAGGUGAGUGGAAUUCCGAGUGUAGAGGUGAAAUUCGUAGAUAUUCGGAGGAACACCAGUGGCGAAGGCGGCUCACUGGCUCGAUACUGACGCUGAGGUGCGAAAGCGUGGGGAGCAAACAGGAUUAGAUA